rnacentral:rRNA from 1 species
AAGUCGUACAGGUUUCCGUAGGUGAACCUGCGGAAGGAUCAUUACCUUUCAAUGCAGAAGAGUUGAGAUGGUUGAGUAUCUCGCCUCUCAAUUCUCGCUGUAUUUUACCCUUGUUUUUCUCAUACUAUUAUUUCCUCGGCAGGCUCGCCUGCCGGGUGAAACAACUUCAAACCUGUUUAAUUUUCAAUCAGCGUCUGAACAAAUUAAUAAUUACAACUUUCAACAACGGAUCUCUUGGUUCUGGCAUCGAUGAAGAACGCAGCGAAAUGCGAUAAGUAGUGUGAAUUGCAGAAUUCAGUGAAUCAUCGAAUCUUUGAACGCACAUUGCGCCCCUUGGUAUUCCAUGGGGCAUGCCUGUUCGAGCGUCAUUUAUACCUUCAAGCUCUGCUUGGUGUUGGGUGUUUGUCCUUGCUCUAGUGGCGGGACUCGCCUUAAAGUAAUUGGCAGCCAGUGUUUUGGUUUUGAAGUGCAGCACAAGUCGCGAUUCAAGUCUAUACGCUAGUUUCCACAAGUCUUUUAUCACUUUUGACCUCGGAUCAGGUAGGGAACCCCCGCUGAACUUAAGCAUAUCA